AUACCAGAGGUCAGUUACAGUUCUAUGGAAGAAUGGUGGCUGAAGGCGAGGGAGGGGAUACCAAAACCAACGAAGAAGAACUUCGAUACCAUUCUCAUCCUUCUCCAUUGGAGGAUCUGGAAGGAAAGAAACGUGAGGAUUUUUGAUAAUGUCAUUAGCUCGGCUGACAGGGUUCGGGACCUGGUAAUACAGGACAUCGGCACGUGGAGGGCAGCAGGCUGCAUUUGUGAUCUGACGACGUGA
rnacentral:rRNA from 1 species